GUAAUAGUGUGAUGUUGUUGCGCCAUAUUAUGAACGAAACAGGGUGUUGUGUUUUAUUUUGAAGUAUUGGUUUUAUUUUGAAGAACCGGAUGUCCGGUGAUGGAAGUGACUUUGCUGUUUGUUUUUCGGAUAUUUACGACCUAUUUUGGGUGAGAAGGUAAUAGCUCUUCACUGUUCCUUGUUUCUUAGUGUAAAUAUUCUUUCUAAGCGUUUCGAAUACUUCAAAAGUUAAAACAUUAAUGUUGUGGGCAUAAGUGAUGUGUUGUUGUUUUUUUUUUUUGGCACAGUUUUGUUAAUUAAGGAAUAGAGCGUCGACUGUUUGAAUUGUUUGGUCGUAUCUAUGCAUGGUAUUUACACCACACAGGCGCAGAUAUCAGUCCGCCAGAAAUGUGAAACUUUUGUAUGUGUUUCCAACACAGACUUUUGGAUGAGGAGGAGCAAAUAUCAGUCCGCCAGAAAGUAGAGACCUGUGUAUUUGUUUCGUGUGUCCAACACAGGUAUGUGGAUUUGUGCAUUUUUAUUUUUAUUUUUUUUGUGAUUAAACGUUUUUUUUAAUGUAAUUUAAAUAAUUAUUUUUAUAUGAAUGAUUGUUGUUUAUUUUCUCCUUUUUUCGGACUUUUGGAUGAGGAGGAGCAAAUAUCAGUCCGCCAGAAAGUAGAGACCUGUGUAUUUGUUUCGUGUUUCCAACACAGCUCUGUUGGUAGAGUGGCCGUGCCAGCAACUUGAGGGUUCCAGGUUCAAUCCCUGCUUCCGCCAUCCUAGUCACUGCCGUUGUGUCCUUGGGCAACUCACUCUACCCUCCUGCUCCCAGUGCCACCCACACUGGUUUAAAGGAAUUUUCGACCAUUAUUCCAUAAGCGCGUUGGUGAGGUCACACACUGAUGUUGGUCGAGAAGGUCUGGCUCUCAGUCCCCGUUCUAAUUCAUCCCCAAGGUGUUCUAUCGGGUUCAAGUCAGGACUCUGUGCAGGCCAGUCAAGUUCAUCCACACCAGACUCUGUUAUACAUCUCUUUAUGGACCUUGCUUUGUGCACUGGUGCACGGUCAUUUUGGAAGAGGAAUGGGCCUGCGCCAAACUGUUCCCACGAGGUUGGGAGAAAGGAAUUGUCCAAAAUGUUUUGCUAUCCUGGAGCAUUCACCUGUGGCCGGGCCAAGUGAUUAGGACACCUGAUUCUGAUCAUUUUGAUGGGUGGCCAAAUACUUUUGGCAAUAUAGUGUAAAUCAAAUAAGGGGUUUGUCCUUUUCUGAACCAGCAGUUGGGUUAAAAUUGGGUUAUGUAGUCCUGAAUGGGUCAGAUAGACAUGCAGUGCAGGAAUAGCUGAUCAUUUUUUGGGUAGAAUUUGAUCAGAGAACUUGGGAAUGGAAAAGGAGAUUUAAAAAAAAAAAGGACAUAAUUUAUGUGCAGACAUAGCAAUAGCAAUGAAGCCUGUCAAUGCUUGGGGACGAGCAACUUUGAACUACAUUGGCCAUGACAAUAAAAAAGACCAUUAUAACAUAA